rnacentral:tRNA from 1 species
AUUAUUUUGGCAGAGUAGUGCGAUGGAUUUAGAAUCUUUAUAUGUAAUUAAUUUACAAAUAAUA